GUGUUCGCUUCCGCAGCACAUACACUAAAUUUGGAAUGAUACAGAGAAGAUUAGCAUGGCCCCUGCACAAGGAUGACAAGCAAAAUCGGGAAGCGUUCCAUAUUAAA
rnacentral:snRNA from 1 species